GUUGUUCCUAACAGUCAUUCGGGUCUACGGGCGGCUUAUACUAUCAUUCCGGCAAAAAUAUCACAAUGAGGACAAAAAUUAUAUUUCUAUUGGCUGUUUUAAUUGGAUGUACAUAUGCACAGAUGAAUCCAAUGGCAUUAAUGAUGAUGAAAGGAGGAGGUGGAUUUUUUGGCAAAUUUUUGAAUAAUCCGUAUACUUUAUGUAAAAUGACAGAAAAUGUCAAAGCUGUUCCAUGUAGUGUGAUGCCACAAAUGUGUAUGAUUCAAUCAAUGAAAACCUAUAAAUUACCCAAUCUCAUGAAGUGUAGUCCAAUGGGGGUUGGCUGUUGCUUAAAAGACGCACGAUCGCUAGCUUUAGCCAAAGUUUUCAGUCGUCGUUAAGCUACAGGGAAACUGGAAGUGGAAUGAUGUCAUCAUGGUUAGCCGCCUGUAAAACAGCCAUAAACUGUCCAUCACAUGAACUAUAAUCAUCGUUUUAUUGUAUUGUUCUUGAGAAAGAGACCCGAAAAUCAACAUAAAAUAAGAAUGUCCGAAAAUAAAAUGUCAAAAAUCGUUUUAUUAUAUGUGCUUGACAGACUUUACAACAAUAUGACGAAUUUUAUUGAAAAUCGUAGUAAUAAAAAUCACGUUUUUCCUGAAGAAAAUUGAUAGUUGCAGAUUACUUCUGGUGUCAAAGCUAAUUUAUUUCUCACACUAAACAGCACUAUAAGUCAAUGAUUGGCACAUUUUCAUUGUGAUAUUAGUAGCAGUGGCCGAAAAAUAAAUUCGUCAAAGAU